UACGGAGGGGGCUAGCGUUAUUCGGAAUUAUUGGGCGUAAAGGGCGCGUAGGUGGCCUGAUAUGUCAAAGGUGAAAUCCCUCGGCUCAACCGAGGAACUGCCUUUGAAACUGUCAGGCUUGAGGCCGGGAGGGGGUAGCGGAAUUCCCAGUGUAGCGGUGAAAUGCGUAGAUAUUGGGAGGAACACCGGUGGCGAAGGCGGCUACCUGGACCGGUUCUGACACUGAGGCGCGAAAGCGUGGGGAGCAAACAGG
rnacentral:misc_RNA from 1 species